CACGGGGGGAGCAAGCGUUGUUCGGAAUCACUGGGCGUAAAGGGCGUGCAGGCGGUCAGGUAAGUGGGAUGUGAAAUGCCCCGGCUCACCCGGGGACCGGCAUCUCAUACUGCUUGGCUUGAGUACGGGAGAGGAUGUGGGAAUUCCUGGUGUAGCGGUGAAAUGCGUAGAGAUCGGAAAGAACACCAACGGCGAAAGCACUCUGCUGGGCCGACACUGACACUGAGAGACGAAAGCUAGGGGAGCGAAUGGG
rnacentral:rRNA from 1 species